CGCGAACUUAUCCAAGUUGCUUCGGCGGCGCGGUACCCCUCACAGGGCGCCGCAGCCUCGCCUCUUAGGAGGUAUGGGGCACCCGCCGGAGGUACGAAACUCUGUAUUAUAGUGGCAUCUCUGAGUAAAAAACAAAUAAGUUAAAACUUUCAACAACGGAUCUCUUGGUUCUGGCAUCGAUGAAGAACGCAGCGAAAUGCGAUAAGUAAUGUGAAUUGCAGAAUUCAGUGAAUCAUCGAAUCUUUGAACGCACAUUGCGCCCGCUAGUACUCUAGCGGGCAUGCCUGUUCGAGCGUCAUUUCAACCCUCAAGCUCUGCUUGGUGUUGGGGUCCUACGGCUGCCGUAGGCCCUGAAAAGAAGUGGCGGGCUCGCUACAACUCCGAGCGUAGUAAUUCAUUAUCUCGCUAAGGAGGUGCAGCGUGCUCCUGCCGUUAAAGACCCCAUCUUUAACCAAGGUU
rnacentral:rRNA from 1 species